rnacentral:rRNA from 1 species
GAUCUCCUACGGGAGGCAGCAGUGGGGAAUCCUGGACAAUGGGCGCAAGCCUGAUCCAGCCAAGCCGCGUGAGUGAUGAAGGCCUUAGGGUCGUAAAGCUCUUUCGCCAGAGAUGAUAAUGACAGUAUCUGGUAAAGAAACCCCGGCUAACUCCGUGCCAGCAGCCGCGGUAAUACGGAGGGGGUUAGCGUUGUUCGGAAUUACUGGGCGUAAAGCGCACGUAGGCGGAUUGGAAAGUAUGGGGUGAAAUCCCAGGACUCAACCCUGGAACUGCCUUGUAAACUCCCAGUCUAGAGUUCGAGAGAGGUGAGUGGAAUUCCAAGUGUAGAGGUGAAAUUCGUAGAUAUUUGGAGGAACACCAGUGGCGAAGGCGGCA